GACGAACGCUGGCGGCGUGCUUAACACAUGCAAGUCGAACGGAAAGGCCCUGCUUUUGUUGGUUUCUCGAUUGGCGAACGGGUGUGUAACACGUGAGUAACCUGCCCUUGUCUUUGUGAUAACUUCAGGAAACUGGGUCUCAUAUCGGAUAUGAUCUCUUGCUCCAUGUUGUGCGUUGGAAAGUUUCGGCGUUUGGGUAUGGACUCGCAGGUUAUGAGCUUGUUUGUCUGGUAGUGGCUUACCAAGGCUUUGACGGAUAGCCGGCCUGAGAGGGUGACCGGCGACAUGGGGACUGAGAUACGGCGCAGAAUCCUACGGGAGGCAGCAGGGGGGAAUAUUGCAGAAUGGGCGGAAGCCUGAUGCAAAAACGCCGCGUGCGGGAUGACGGCCUUCGGGUUGUAAACCGCUUUCGCAUGUGACGAAGCGUGAGUGACGGUAAUGGGUAAAGAAGCACCGGCUAACUACGUG
rnacentral:rRNA from 1 species